CUAUUAGUGGUGGCAACUGCAAGUUCCAAGUAGAGACGAAUCCAGUCAUUGUCUUCUUGCAGCUCAUAAUAAUUCAACUGCAAAAAAAA
rnacentral:sRNA from 1 species